rnacentral:lncRNA from 1 species
GGCUGGGAACCCUUCUCAAAAUUGAUAGGUUAAAAUAAUUUUUAGGGCCUUCCUGCCUCCCUUUUGAGUUCUAGCUCUCAUUUUUUUUUCAUCUCUCUUGUCUUUUAGGAUGCCUUCUGACUGAGAAAUUUCCCCAGGCCUGAACCUAGAGUCUCAAGUCCCAGAAAUGACAGGAUUCUCUUCCAAGGCAGGGAAAUCACUCUUAGGAAUAAAUGUCAGAUGUAAGUUCGCUUGAUCUCCUGUCUCAGACUGCUGUGCCCACUAUCCAACAGUGACCCCUGCAGCACGGGCAGGACCUCCAGCAGCACAGACUGGAGGCUGGCUGCCCGGCAGAGCUGCAAUGCCACCACCAAGAAAGAGGCUUGGCUCAAUUUUGGAUCCCAAGGCCCUCCUUAUCCCACAAGAAGCAAGUCUACAGCUUGGAGCAGGAAUCCAGGCCACCCAAAGUGCAGACCGGGGGAAUCCCAAGAAGGGUAGAAUACCUCUGUUGGCAAGCAUCCCUGCCAGGCAAGGAAGCAUCGCGGCAGGCUGAUGAUCUUUGGUGCUACCUGAACCUCUGCUAGGGCCAAACUCUGAGGCCAAAGCUGACCCCUCCAAAGGGGCAGGCGCAGGGCUUGGAGGUGGGUGGGAAACAAGCUGCCCAGACCUGUGCUUCUCCUGCCUGCUCUGAGUACCCCAGGUGCGCUCAGGCUGUGGGUGUGACUGUCCCACACGGAGAAGCCCAAAGACUGUCCAGCUCCAUCCUCAUCUUGUCAAAGGCACUUUCCAGCCACCCUGAUCUUGGUGGAGAAACUGACUCAAAGAGAAGUGAUGAAAGAUGUGGCCACUUUGGUCCCGUUUCUGGCUCCCUAGGAAGGUUACUACACCCUCCCUGCAG